GCCCCCGUAGCUCAAUGGAUAGAGCACUGGUUUGCGGAACCAGCGAUAUCAGUUCAAUUCUGGUCGAGGGCGCCU
rnacentral:tRNA from 2 species